GAUGAACGCUGGCGGCGUGCCUAAUACAUGCCAGUCGAGCGAACGGACGAGAAGCUUGCUUCUCUGAUGUUAGCGGCGGACGGGUGAGUAACACGUGGAUAACCUACCUAUAAGACUGGGAUAACUUCGGGAAACCGGAGCUAAUACCGGAUAAUAUUUUGAACCGCAUGGUUCAAAAGUGAAAGACGGUCUUGCUGUCACUUAUAGAUGGAUCCGCGCUGCAUUAGAUAGUUGGUAAGGUAACGGCUUACCAAGGCAACGAUGCAUAGCCGACCUGAGGGUGAUCGGCCACACUGGAACCGAGACACGGUCCAGACUCCUACGGGAGGCAGCAGUAGGGAAUCUUCCGCAAUGGGCGAAAGCCUGACGGAGCAACGCCGCGUGAGUGAUGAAGGUCUUCGGAUCGUAAAACUCUGUUAUUAGGGAAGAACAUAUGUGUAAGUAACUGUGCACAUCUUGACGGUACCUAAUCAGAAAGCCACGGCUAACUACGUG
rnacentral:rRNA from 1 species